UAAAAACACCAAAACACACACCUUUGUGUGUGUUCUGGUCGUACAAAACACAGGAGCCAAGAAGGGCUCUCAAGCUCAAACCCUAACAAGCAUAAAAUCAACAAAUUGAAGGGGUAAAUCCAACCUAAAUUGAAAUCCAAGCACGAAUUCAUGAUCACCUCCAUGAAGGGAUCAUAAGUUUGACUCUUGACAAGCUAGAUGGAGGCUUGGGGAAAGAAGCGGGUCAAACGGAUCGUAUACGCGGAAAAGAGCAUAAUCCGGAUACUAGGAAUAAAUAUCGAUUGAAUGUUGACAUCGCUAUUACUUAGCGGCUACUAAGGCAAGGUAUCGAAACGGGUCAAUAUAUUGAUCCGAGCCAGGUUUGUAUAAUGAUUCAACUCGUCAUGUAGAACUUGAGGUUC